UAGAUCAAAUCUAUAAAUUUUUAGAAAAUUUAAAAAUCAUUUGAUACUUCAUUUCAUUAAUUUGAAUCAAUGUAUAAAAUAAUUUUAUGAUUAUCAGUCAAUUUGAAUUAAUGAAAUGAAGUAUCAAAUAAUUUUUAAAUUUUCUAAAAAUUUGCAGAUUUGAUCUA
rnacentral:miRNA from 1 species